AAAAGAAAAAACUACUGAGGACACGACUCUCUGAUUUCACUUUGCGAUGACGGAGGAGAAGCUGAAGUCCAAACUCCAACAGAGGGUGAUUUGUGAGACUCAAAAUGAGGCUCUGUGAUGAAUCUGAGGAUGGAAACAGUGCAGACGAGCAGACAGAGUCUGCCGCCUCCAGCUGCUGCAGAAACACCGGGCGGCUCAACGUGCCGCGUUUCAGCCACCACCACCUGCCUGCAGAUGAUGACAAACUGAUCAGCAUGACGGAGUUUCCAACAGCCGUUUAUCUGCUGAUGAAACGGAAUAAAUCCUCAGAGCUGAUCGAUUUCAACUCCAACUUGGACCCUUCAGUCACAAAACUGGUGUGUGUGAGGACGAGCAGUAAGGAAUAUGGGCUACCUUUCUAGAUUCCAGCCUGAACUGUGCAGUUAUGAUGCAGUCCAGAGGAACCAAUCCUUGAGGAGUGGCCACCUGAUAGGAAACACCAGAUUCAAAGUGAGCUUCAUUAUUCCAGUCGAGAGAGGAGAAAUCUCUUCUACAAGUUUGGACAUCAGCACUUGCUGUUUGGAGCUCUACUUGUAAAUAAUCUGCCUUCGUGUGAUAAAGGUUGUUCCAGUUCAGCAGCAUAAAGCUGCUCAUUUAAUGACGUCGGGGAGCGAGAACACUGUGAAAUUAACUUUGCUUGUGCAGCUCACAGCCUGUAUGCAGACCAACAGCUGGAAAUGAAAAUCCAAACUGAGCUUCUGCAGUUCAUUUUAUUGGAGGGGGGAUUUUUUUAAAGUGAAUUAUUUCAGUUUUCAUUGUUUUUCUACAUGCUGCUAUACUUCCAGUGGUGACACUAAAAACAGGGCAAAGCCAGAAAGACGAUUGGUUAGUUAACCUUGGUGAGGCUAAAUAGAAGGCUACAAACAUCCUCAUAGAACUGGAGUUACAUCCAGAUAACUUCUAGUUCCUUAAAGACCUAUGUGUGGAAUUUAAUUUGAUUAUAACAGCUAUCAAAUAUGUUUCUAUUUGUCGUGCAAAUGCUACACACAGGAGCUUUAAAAUAUCUUCACAUUAACAUCAAUAUAUUCUUCAUUUAUUCCAGACCCCUUUAAGGUAUUUUCCCAUCUUCUAGAAAUCACAUUUAUAUCCAAUUAAUUAAAACAAAAUGCCGACCAGAUUAUAUUUUAUAUCCACAUAAUGAGGAAAUAUGUCAGUAAAAUGUCCACUGACAACAUAUUUAAUUUGUUCUCCACCAAAACACCCAAUCUUGUGAUACAAUGUCCGUUUGUGGGAACUUUUUUAUGGUUCUGUUUAGGCAACAAAAGCACCAACUUUAGAAAAAGAUCAACUUUCUGUGUCGGCCAUCCACCCCGACCACAGGCCUCCAUCUCUGGUGUGGUUCAUCAAUAUAAAGACCAAAACAAGAAGUGAACAUAAUCCAGGAUUAUGUUUGACAGAACAAUGUCUUUAUGAAAACAAUAUAGUGCUAUAAAAACCUAAUUUCUAGGAGGCAGGGUUGAUCUGAAUUUGAAUGAUUAUCUUCUAACAUACUGUAAUUUCUGUUUGCUAUCUGGACUUGCUGCUUAGUUUUUCUGCACCGCUGCAGAUUGUUAUUCAUUGUUUGUUUGUUUAUCUGUUGACCAAUUGUCUGAGAAAUUAUAAAUGGACGACAUAGAUUUUAUUGUUUUGUCUCUGUUUGUGUUCUUCAAGGCGUUGGAAACACAUAUCAGUGAUUUGGUUUGUUAAAAAUCUGCUUUAAAAUCACAACCAUGAAGUCUACAGCUAUAUUUAGAGAUUAAAUUAUACUUUUAUACAGAACGUCCAUAUCUACAAGAGAACUGUUAUUCAUUAGUUCAUAUUUGUCAUAUUACAAUGAGAUCACUGGCAUAUAAAUAUUGAUUAAAGUCAGUCUCAGUCAACAGAAAACACACAUUUUCCGUUUUACUGUUAAAUAUUGUUCUAAACAGUUUAGUUAAUAUAGUUUUCAACUUGAAAGAAUUGUUGUACGUCUGUGUUUUCUCUUUUCUCUGUAUUGUUCUCAUGCCGUUUGCAUUCUAAUACUUUAUGUUUGUAUCAUAGAUGUGUAUAUUCACUUUAUCUGUUAUAUACCUGGAUGUACAUAUUGUUUGUGUUUAUGAGUCCAUCACUCAUCUGAGCCCACCGACAGUUCUUUGGUCUCAUUUUAGGAACAGUGGUGAAACAAUCAAGCAAAAUUGAAUCAAGGUUUCUAAUGCAGAAUAAAUAUAAUUACGUAAUCACACUGAUAGACUUUAUUCAUGAUCCUGUGAAUGUGUUUUUGGUGCUGGUCCCAGUGGGAUUCAAACUGUAACUGUGCAUCACAACCUUGUUCUGUUUUUAUGACACGUUUUAAGAGUGUUUUUCUUUUAGGAAGUUUCACAAAGCUUCUGCCCUCUGCU